CAAUUUUCGAAGGCAGCUUUAACACUUAAUAAUUCUUUUUCACCAAUAGGAUAAUUUUUUUCAGCAGAGCUCAAGGAUCUUGAGAAGAAGGCAACUGGAUGAAGUGGAUCUUGAGGAGUCUUUUGUUGAGAAGGAACUGCUCCGAUAGCUGUAUCUGAUGCAUCGACUUCAAGGACAUAUAAGAAUGUUGGAUUAGGUAGUUGUAGAAUAGGUGCAGUUGUAAAUCUUUUUUUUUAAUCUGUCAAAGGCAGCUUGUGCAUCUUUACACUACUUGAAAGGACGUUUUGUACUGUUAAGAAGGUUAAGUGGAUGAG